CCAGGCUUGACAUACAGUAGACAGCUCCAGAAAUGGAGUCUUCCUUCGGGACUGCUGAACAGGUGCUGCAUGGCUGUCGUCAGCUCGUGCCGUGAGGUGUUGGGUUAAGUCCCGCAACGAGCGCAACCCUUAUCGUUAGUUGCCAACAUUUUAGGUGGGAACUCUAGCGAGACUGCCCGGGUUAACCGGGAGGAAGGUGAGGAUGACGUCAAGUCCGCAUGGCCCUUAUGUCUGGGGCUACACACGUGCUACAAUGGUCGGUACAAAAGGCAGCGAAGUCGUGAGAUGGAGCAAAUCCCAAAAAACCGGCCCCAGUUCAGAUUGUAGUCUGCAACUCGACUACAUGAAGAUGGAAUUGCUAGUAAUGGCGAGUCAGCUACAUCGCCGUGAAUACGUUCUC
rnacentral:rRNA from 1 species